rnacentral:rRNA from 1 species
AGUGAACGCUGGCGGUAGGCCUAACACAUGCAAGUCGAACGGCAGCACAGUAAGAGCUUGCUCUUACGGGUGGCGAGUGGCGGACGGGUGAGGAAUACAUCGGAAUCUACUUUUUCGUGGGGGAUAACGUAGGGAAACUUACGCUAAUACCGCAUACGACCUACGGGUGGAAGCAGGGGAUCUUCGGACCUUGCGCGAUUGAAUGAGCCGAUGUCGGAUUAGCUAGUUGGCGGGGUAAAGGCCCACCAAGGCGACGAUCCGUAGCUGGUCUGAGAGGAUGAUCAGCCACACUGGAACUGAGACACGGUCCAGACUCCUACGGGAGGCAGCAGUGGGGAAUAUUGGACAAUGAGCGCAAGCCUGAUCCAGCCAUACCGCGUGGGUGAAGAAGGCCUUCGGGUUGUAAAGCCCUUUUGUUGGGAAAGAAAAGCAGCAGGUUAAUACCCCGCUGUUCUGACGGUACCCAAAGAAUAAGCACCGGCUAACUUCGUG